AUCACUUCUUGGCCUUUUAGCUACGAUCAAGUGUAGUAUCUGUUCUUACAGAAUCAGUAUCAAUCAAAUAAAUUUUCUACAACCUGACAACCUUU
ensembl:snRNA U2 U2 spliceosomal RNA